AGCAUUUCAUUACUAAUUCAAAGUUAAAGAAAUACAUGUAUAAGAGACUCCUAUUUAUAGGAUAAAGUCUCUCAAAAACUCUCAAAUGAGAGUGUGACAAGUGUCACCACCUUAUUGGUGCAAAUCCUCUCCAUUAAGGAGAAGACAUGUGGAGACUCAUGCCUUCCUUGCCUACAUUUCUAUUUGCACCCCUCUUUUACUAUUUUACACAUUACUUUGUUUUCUAUUUACAUCUUUUCUACUUUGGCCCAAAAUAGAAGGCCCAAAACUUCCUAACUACUCUAUACAAUUUUUAUAAGGCUAAGAAGAAGAAAAAGACUUUACAAACUCUUCAUUAAAACUCGAUCUUCGUCUAUCUUCUUGGCCGAAAGUUUUGAGGCUGGACGGUUUCCAUCAUCCCCUCCCUCUUGAAAAGGAUCUGUCCUCAGAUCUGAAUGAUGCUCAAUGACAGCAACCUCUGUUUAUUUGAUGUUUUCCUCCUGGGUCAAAUGUCAAUCUACAAUAAACAUCAAACAAAAAUGAGAUAAAUUUCUUUUUUAAAAGAUAAUUAAAACAAAAGAAAACUAAACAAAAAUAAGGCCCUUUAUCUUUAAAUUUCUUUUUAAAGAAAAACAUAAGGCCCCUUUCAAAAGUAUUUUUGUUCACUUUGUGUUGUUUAUUGCCCAAGCUAGGCAACAACAUCACAAAGUUUGGUUUUUGAGAUUUUUGUAAAGAAGAAUGGACAUUAUAUAAUUGAAAAGAAGAGUUCAAAGUAUUGCAAUCCCCCUUUAAGGAUUCUUUCUCGGCCAUGCUUUGAGGGAGUGUCAUAAAAGGUUCUUCUUCUUCGUGGGUUUCCUCUUCUUCCUUUUCAAUCAAACAUUCUUCUGGUUCAGCUCCAAACAUAGAUUUUUCUUCAAGCACAUCCUCACAAGGGUUUUCUAGAGAAGAUAAAAUGUUAUCAAUAUAUGAUUCAACUCCAGAAAAAGAGUUUUUUAUACUUUCUUUUUCUAUCAUCACUUUUUCUCUCUUUUCUUUCUCUUCUCUAUCUUUCCUUUCGUUGUCCUCUCUUUCCCUUUUCUCCUUCUCUUCUUUCUUUCUGACAAGAGCUUGGAAUUUUUCUCUAAACUCCUUUUCUCUUCUAACAUAUUCUUUUUCUGUGUAUAUAAAAUUUCUUCCUUUUUCUACAAGCUCUUUCAUUUCUUCUCUAAGCCUUUUCUUUUUCACAUAUGAAGGUGGAACAAACUUUCUUCUCAUACACAUCUUCAAUUCAUCCCAAUUCAAUAUUUCUGAUUUUCUACCAAUUCUAACAUCAGCUUCCCUUUGUAUCCACCAAGACCUAGCAUAUUCUUCAAAACUUAGGGUAGCCAUGGAAAAUUUUCUAAAUUCAUCCAAUUGAUGUUUUUCAAAGAUUUGAUCAACUUUUGUUUCCCAUUCUAAAUAUGCUUCAACAUUUUUAUUUCCAUCAAAGUAAGGAAUGUAUAUUUCAGGCUCUGUAGAAUAAUAUAAACUUCUAGGCUCAAAACGCAUCCCUUCCUUUUUUUGAUAAUGAGGAUUAUAAAUCUUUCUACUAUGACAAGAAGUAUACAUAGACAUAUUAAGCUUUGUAUUUAAAAGAUUUUUCACAAGAAGGAAAGUGAGUUUAGCACACAAGGUAAAUUCCCAGGAAAGAGAGGUCGAUCACAAUGGACACUCUUAAGUACCAAGUCUUUCCUAGCCAGAACUUAUCCCAAUGCACUUCACAAAUCUCCUUCCAAUGAAAACUUCUUCAACCCAAACAAAGAGUUUUCUAAAGAAAGAAACUAAAAGAAAGCUUUUAAAAACUAAGAAUUUAAAUUGCAAAAAUUUAAACUAGACGACUCCUAAUGGUGAGGCUUGUUGGCACUUGUGAACCUUCAAGACACACUCACCGUCUAAAGCGUGUAUCUAAUAAGAAAAUUAAAGAAAGUUUGUAGGAGAUGGAAGAACACCAAAGGCUCUUCCAAGACACCUAAAGUAAAGAUAAUGGCCAAAUUACAAAACAAUUGAAAUCACACAAAAUUUUAAAAAAAUAAUCUUCAAAGUUCUCUUCUCUUCUCUCACAAGUGUUUCUCUCCAAGCCUUUACUUGUUUGUCCUCCAAAGGUGAGUACCCCUUGCAAAGUCCUUUGCCUUCUCUUAGGAUGCUACCUAGAAGUUAGCUCAAUUCUCACAAAGAACAAAUUCAAGGUAUAUUCCACUUCAAGAGGUCAAUAAUAAAAAGCAAUAAAAGCUCAAUUUGAAGAGUGAAACUCAAAGGAGAUUAGAGAUGACAAACACAAAAAUUAUCCAUAAAAUCAAGACAAGCAAGAAAUUAAAGGUUUUCAAGAAAGUAGGCACUCAAAAGAAGCACCUAAAGAUUGGCACUAGAAUUGGAUUAAAAAAAGAAAAACAAAGAAUGAUGAAAAUUCUUAAAAUUCUUAGUAGACCAUGAAAUCCAAAAUGUUUUGGCCCAAAAUGCAAUUGGGCAGAAUUUGUUUCCACUUUUCUAAUCCCAAUCUCGCGGGUCCUACAGAAAGUCCUCAAUUGCUGAAUUCUUUCAUCAAAAUCCCGCUUCAAUACUGCACCGUUUCUGCUUGUGUGCCAAUAUUCAAUUCUUCAAAAAGCACUAUUCAGCAAAUCAUGGACCCUACCAUGUGAAUGCCAAUUUCUUGCCAAAUUGAACAACUUCACGUACUGGCAGCCACCUAUACUUUGCUAUUUCCAAAUUACUUCUUGCAGAUCCGCACCAAAUUUCUUUUCGAACCACGAACAAUUUUCGGAAAAAUUUUCGAGAAUUUUCGAAAAUGAAUUUUGAGAGAAUGAUAAUGGAAACCUAACUCAAAGAAAAUUGCUAAUGAUCUAGUAGCAAUUUAUGAACUCAAAUAUGAAAAUCAAAAGCACUCAAGAGCUCUAAUGUAUGAAGAAAUUUGAAAAAAAAAUUUCAAAAAGUUCAACUAAUGGAGUUUAUGACAAAUUUGGACUAAACAUGACUCUAGACAAAACAUAUAUGAUUAUAAAAUCAAAAUGACUCAAUUAUAUGAAAAUUUCACCGAACAAAUUUGAAGAAAACUCAAAAAAAUUCAAAAGCACACAUGAACAUGAACACAAGAACACCUAAAAGCACAUACAUGAAGGUUCAAGUAAGAACAAUUAAUUUGAACCGAACAAAAAGACAAAAAACACAAAAUCAAUCGGUAAACAUUCAAGACAAUCAAGAACAUUAUGAACAACACGGAAUUUAGAAAAAAAUAGAAGAAGAUCUUACAACCAUAGCUCUGAAUACCAAAUGAUGGAAAAACGAUCUUCUUCUAGUAAUGAUCUUUGUAAUUUCUUCUUUGGAUGAAUGAUGAAGGAGAUAUGAUGAGCGGAAGCAUUAAAGAAACUCAAGAGGAGUUUCCAUGGAUUGAAGUGGAGUAGGAAUUUGUGAGAGUGAGAGGUGAGGCCAACUCACUAGGAAAGAGUCUAGGCUAAGUCUUGAAGGAGACUAACCUAGGGAGAACUUAAGAACAAGUAGAAUGGCCAAAAUUAGGCAGCAUUUCAUUACUAAUUCAAAGUUAAAGAAAUACAUGUAUAAGAGACUCCUAUUUAUAGGAUAAAGUCUCUCAAAAACUCUCAAAUGAGAGUGUGACAAGUGUCACCACCUUAUUGGUGCAAAUCCUCUCCAUUAAGGAGAAGACAUGUGGAGACUCAUGCCUUCCUUGCCUACAUUUCUAUUUGCACCCCUCUUUUACUAUUUUAC
rnacentral:lncRNA from 1 species